GUCAAUGGGGGCAAGCAAGUCAAUGUGGGCAACCAAUCACUCAAUAGGGGCAACCAACAAGUCAAUAGGAGCACCCAGCCACUCAAUGGGGGCAACCAAGUCAAUGGGGGCAACCAAUCACUCAAUGGGGGCAACCAACCACUCAGUGGGGGCAACCAAGUCAAUAGGAGCAACCACGUCAAUGGAGGCAACCAAGUCAAUGGGAGCAACCAAGUCAAUAGGAGCAACCAACAGGCCAAUGGGGGCAACCAGCCACUCAAUGGGGGCAACCAAGUCAAUGGAGGCAACCAACUGCUCAAUGGGGGCAACCAAGUCAAUGGAGGCAACCAACC